rnacentral:SRP_RNA from 13 species
GCUGGGCGCAGUGGCAUGUGCCUGUACUCUCAGCUACUUGGGAGGCUGAGGUGGGAGGAUCGCUUGAGCCCAGGAGUUCUGGGCUGUAGUGUGCUCUGUCAGUUGGGUGUGCGCACUAAGUUCUGCAUCAAUAUAGUGACCUGCUGGGAGCAAGGGACCACCAGGUUGCUUAAGGAGGGGCGAACCGGCCCAAGUCAGAAAUGGAGCAGGUCGAAAAAAAAAAAAGAAAAGAAAAGAAAAGAGGCCGGGCGCGGUGGCUCAUGCCUGUAAUCCCAGCACUUUGGGAGGUCGAGGCGGGUGGAUCAUAAGGUCAAGAGAUCAAGACCAUCCUGGUCAACAUGGUGAAACCCCGUCUCUA